rnacentral:rRNA from 1 species
UAGGGUUUGAUCCUGGCUCAGGACUAACGCUGGCGGUAUGCCUUAGACAUGCAAGUCGAACGAGUUUCCGGGCUUGCUCGGAAAUUAGUGGCGAACGGCUGAGUAACGCGUAGGUGACCUACCCCGUAGUGUGGAAUAACUGCCCGAAAGGGUAGCUAAUACCGCAUGUUGAGCCGACAUCGAUGUCGUCUCCAAAGCAGAAAUGCGCUAUGGGCGGGGCCUGCGUUCGAUUAGCUAGUUGGUGGGGUAAUGGCUCACCAAGGCGACGAUCGAUAGGUGGUCUGAGAGGACGAUCACCCAGACUGGGACUGAGACACGGCCCAGACUCCUACGGGAGGCAGCAGUCGGGAAUUUUGCGCAAUGGGGGAAACCCUGACGCAGCAAUACCGCGUGUGGGAUGAAGGCCUUCGGGUCGUAAACCACUUUUUUCGGGGACGAUAAUGACGGUACCCGAAGAAUAAGCCACGGCUAACUACGUGCCAGCCGCCGCGGUAAUUC